rnacentral:misc_RNA from 1 species
GAUGAAGAACGCAGCGAAAUGCGAUAAGUAGUGUGAAUUGCAGAAUUCAGUGAAUCAUCGAAUCUUUGAACGCACAUUGCGCCCCUUGGUAUUCCAUGGGGCAUGCCUGUUCGAGCGUCAUUUGUACCUUCAAGCUCUGUUUGGUGUUGGGUGUUUGUCUCGCCUCUGCGUGUAGACUCGCCUCAAAACAAUUGGCAGCCGGCGUAUUGAUUUCGGAGCGCAGUACAUCUCGCGCUUUGCACUCAUAACGACGACGUCCAAAAGUACAUUUUUACACUCUUGACCUCGGAUCAGGUAGGGAUACCCGCUGAACUUAAGCAUAUCAAUAAGCGGAGGA